GAUCUCGACGAGCUCCACAGAGCUGCCUGGCGGGGCGACGUCCCCGGGGUGGAGCGCGUCCUGGUGCCCGGAGGCCCUGGCGUGGAUAAGAGGGACAAGAAGAACAGGACGGCUCUGCAUUUGGCAUGUGUCAGUGGACAUCCAGCAGUGGUAGCUCUCCUGGUGGACAGAAAAUGUCAACUUAAUUGCUUUGACAGCUAUAAGAGGACAGCUCUGAUAAAGGCUGUACAAUGC